UAAGGAAUAUUGGACAAUGGAGGCAACUCUGAUCCAACCAUGCCGCGUGAAGGAAUAAGGCCCUAUGGGUUGUAAACUUCUUUUAGACGGGACAAAACCCCUUUACGUGUAAAGGGUUGAUGGUACUGUCAGAAUAAGCAUCGGCUAACUUCGUGCCAGCAGCCGCGGUAAUACGAAGGAUGCAAGCGUUAUCCGGAAUUAUUGGGUUUAAAGGGUGCGUAGGCGGACUAAUAAGUCAGUGGUGAAAGCCUGCAGCUUAACUGCAGAAUUGCCAUUGAUACUGUUAGUCUUGAGUACAGUUGAGGUAGGCGGAAUGUGUCAUGUAGCGGUGAAAUGCUUAGAUAUGACACAGAACACCGAUUGCGAAGGCAGCUUGCUAGGCUGUAACUGACGCUGAGGCACGAAAGCGUGGGGAGCAAACA
rnacentral:rRNA from 1 species